ACUCCUACGGGAGGCAGCAGUGGGGAAUAUUGCACAAUGGGCGCAAGCCUGAUGCAGCCAUGCCGCGUGUAUGAAGAAGGCCUUCGGGUUGUAAAGUACUUUCAGCAGUGAGGAAGGUGGGUAUGUUAAUAGCAUAUUCAUUUGACGUUAGCUGCAGAAGAAGCACCGGCUAACUCCGUGCCAGCAGCCGCGGUAAUACGGAGGGUGCGAGCGUUAAUCGGAAUUACUGGGCGUAAAGCGCAUGCAGGUGGUUUGUUAAGUCAGAUGUGAAAGCCCGGGGCUCAACCUCGGAAUUGCAUUUGAAACUGGCAAACUAGAGUACUGUAGAGGGGGUAGAAUUUCAGGUGUAGCGGUGAAAUGCGUAGAGAUCUGAAGGAAUACCGGUGGCGAAGGCGGCCCCCUGGACAGAUACUGACACUCAGAUGCGAAAGCGUGGGGAGCAAACAGGAUUAGAUACCCUGGUAGGCUACUGC
rnacentral:rRNA from 1 species